UGUCUCUCAUGUGCACAGUCUCUCUGUCUCGCUGAAAUACAUUAGAUACAUGCUUUGAUCUUCAAUGUCAAACGGUGCGUACACAUGUUGUAAAACGCACUCCCACUCUGGACGUGUAACUGUUAUCCAUGAAAUGACUCCUGAUGCAAUUCGUUGAGGUUCCGGUUGAUCUGUGCUGAAGUUGUCUUGAUGUGAGAGAACCAGUUUGAGUCAGAGGAUCUUUGAUGAAUGGAAAGACUGGGCCGCAGCCUGGCACAAAUUUAGGGGUCCUUAGAAGACUUCUUGCUCAUCUUCAAAUUCUCAGAAUCAGCAAAGGGAAAGAAGUCUGGCUCCUACCUUUGUGAAUAGCUGAAUACAUUGGGAAUAGAAAAACACUGC